AUCAUUGUCUAUGAUAUCUGCAAUGGAAAUGAUCACUAGGCAAUUUCAGCCUUGCAAAUCUAACGGGACAGAAACAGGGCCAGAUGCACAGGGUGGUUUACGUGACUGCACAGCUGCAAAGAUGAUCUCUGGGACUUUUCUUGACAUGCCGCAAAUGCUGAAAAGGAAUUCCCUUCUGCUUCUAGAAGUCAUGAACUAGAUAUGAUUUAAAAGAAAAAGCUAAGGUGUUUGUUGUCCUUGGCAUCUGAUGUUGUGGAAUAUGAUGGAUGGGUGAGCAGGAACUGACAAACUGGCUGGGAGGUAACAGCUGAGGCCAGCCUGGUCUGCUCAUUGAUGGUGCUGGAUUUGAACCAAACGUACCAGGAGGUCCUCAAAUGCAAUUUGAAUUGUUGAUUCUCUCAUUAGUCUUGAGAGUGGCCAGGGCAUGGGGUGUUAGUAACAUCCCUGUUUGCUAAGGAAGAGACUGAGAUUUCAGGCAGGGAAGUGACUUCCUCACAUCUCCAGACUCAGCCUCCAGGGCCCUCAGCACUGCACCCUGGUUGCUGUGCGGGUCUCACCCUGCAGUACAUGAGCGAGGCAGACAGAAGACAGAAGCAGAGCUUUAGAUGGAGGCGAAACGAGUCCAGAUAUGUGUGCCGGAACCUGGUCCUCCUAGGAUUCAAGUUGCUUACAGAGAGGGACAAGACCCAACAAGCUUCCCAAUUUUGAUAAAAUUCUUCACUGAGAUUGUGCAGGUCACUGUCACUCUGCGAAGGUGCUGCUUUUCUCAACCCAAAGGAAACUGGGAUAGAGGAAAAUGCACUGAAGUG
ensembl:lncRNA LY86-AS1 LY86 antisense RNA 1